rnacentral:rRNA from 1 species
UACGUAGGAGGCGAGCGUUGUCCGGAAUUACUGGGCGUAAAGAGCGCGUAGGCGGCGCGGUACGACCGCUGUGAAAGCCCGAGGCUCAACUUCGGGUCGGCCGCGGAUACUCUCGUGCUGGAGGGUGGUAGAGGCCAAUGGAAUUCCGGGUGUAGCGGUGGAAUGCGUAGAGAUCCGGAAGAACACCGGUGGCGAAGGCGGUUGGCUGGGCCACACCUGACACUGAGGCGCGACAGCGUGGGGAGCAAACAGG